rnacentral:rRNA from 1 species
ACCGAGUUUACACUCCCAACCCCAAUGUGAACGUUACCAAUCUGUUGCCUCGGCGGGAUUCUCUUGCCCCGGGCGCGUCGCAGCCCCGGAUCCCAUGGCGCCCGCCGGAGGACCAACUCCAAACUCUUUUUUUCUCUCCGUCGCGGCUCCCGUCGCGGCUCUGUUUUAUUUUUGCUCUGAGCCUUUCUCGGCGACCCUAGCGGGCGUCUCGAAAAUGAAUCAAAACUUUCAACAACGGAUCUCUUGGUUCUGGCAUCGAUGAAGAACGCAGCGAAAUGCGAUAAGUAAUGUGAAUUGCAGAAUUCAGUGAAUCAUCGAAUCUUUGAACGCACAUUGCGCCCGCCAGUAUUCUGGCGGGCAUGCCUGUCCGAGCGUCAUUUCAACCCUCGAACCCCUCCGGGGGGUCGGCGUUGGGGAUCGGCCCCUCACCGGGCCGCCCCCGAAAUACAGUGGCGGUCUCGCCGCAGCCUCUCCUGCGCAGUAGUUUGCACACUCGCACCGGGAGCGCGGCGCGGCCACAGCCGUAAAACACCCCAAACUUCUGAAAUGUUGACCUCGGAUCAGGUAGGAAUACCCGCUGAACUUAAGCAU